rnacentral:rRNA from 1 species
AACGAACGCUGGCGGCAGGCUUAACACAUGCAAGUCGAGCGCCCCGACAGGGGAGGGUCGGUCGGGCGGGUAACGCGUGGCGGAGUGGCGAUUGGUUCGGCAGAACCUACGGAAACUGGGGGUAAUACCGGAUAAGACUUAAGGGGGUAAGAUUUAUGGCCUAAAGUUGGGACCAAGGUGGAUUCGGUCGUUGGGGAGGUAACGGCGCCCCAAGGGGACGAUCUGUAGCUGGUGUGAGAGGCUGACCAACCACACUGGGAGUAGGACACCGGCGAGACUCCUGCGGGAGGCAGCAGUGGGUAAUACAGGACAAUGGGCGCAAUCCUGAACCACCCAUGCCGCGUGAGUGAUGAAGGCCUUAGGGUUGUAAAGCUCGUUUGUCCGGCAAGAUAAUGACGGUACCGGAAGAAUAAGCCCCGGCUAACUUCGUG